CUUAAUCCCUAUGUAGUGCACUAGUUUUGACCAGUAUUGGACCCUUAAUCCCUAUGUAGUGCACUAGUUCUGACCAGUAUGUCACCCUAAUCCCUAUGUAGUGCACUAGUUUUGACCAGUAUGGCACCCUUAAUUAAUCCCUAUGUAGUGCACUGGUUUUGACCAGUAUUGGACCCGUAAUCCCUAUGUAGUGCACUAGUUUUGACCAGUAUUGAACCCUUAAUCCCUAUGUAGUGCACUAGUUUUGACCAGUAUGGCACCCUAAUCCCUAUGUAGUGCACUAGUUUUGACCAGUAUUGGACCCUUAAUCCCUAUGUAGUUCACUAGUUCUGACCAGUAUGGUACCCUAAUCCCUAUGUAGUGCAGUAGUUCUGACCAGUAUGGCACCCUAAUCCCUAUGUAGUGCACUAGUUUUGACCAGUAUUGGACCCUAAUCCCUAUGUAGUGCACUAGUUUUGACCAGUAUGGCACCCUUAAUUAAUCCCUAUGUAGUGCAGUAGUUUUGACCAGUAUGGCACCCUAAUCCCUAUGUAGUGCACUAGUUUUGACCAGUAUUGGACCCUAAUCCCUAUGUAGUGCACUAGUUUUGACCAGUAUGGCACCCUUAAUUAAUCCCUAUGUAGUGCACUAGUUUUGACCAGUAUUGGACCCUUAAUCCCUAUGUAGUUCACUAGUUCUGACCAUAUUGGAGCCUUAAUCCCUAUGUAGUGCAGUAGUUCUGACCAGUAUGGCACCCUAAUCCCUAUGUAGUGCACUAGUUUUGACCAGUAUUGGAGCCUUAAUCCCUAUGUAGUGCACUAGUUCUGACCAGUAUUGGAGCCUUAAUCCCUAUGUAGUGCACUAGUUUUGACCAGUAUGGCACCCUAAUCCCUAUGUAGUGCACUAGUUUUGACCAGUAUUGAACCCUUAAUCCCUAUGUAGUUCACUAGUUUUGACCAGUAUUGGAGCCUUAAUCCCUAUGUAGUGCAGUAGUUUUGACCAGUAUUGAACCCUUAAUCCCUAUGUAGUGCACUAGUUUUGACCAGUAUUGGACCCUUAAUCCCUAUGUAGUGCACUAGUUUUGACCAGUAUGGCACCCUUAAUUAAUCCCUAUGUAGUGCACUAGUUUUGACCAGUAUUGGACCCUUAAUCCCUAUGUAGUUCACUAGUUUUGACCAGUAUUGGAGCCUUAAUCCCUAUGUAGUGCAGUAGUUCUGACCAGUAUGGCACCCUAAUCCCUAUGUAGUGCACUAGUUUUGACCAGUAUUAAACCCUUAAUCCCUAUGUAGUGCAGUAGUUUUGACCAGUAUUGGAGCCUUAAUCCCUAUGUAGUGCACUAGUUUUGACCAGUAUUGAACCCUUAAUCCCUAUGUAGUGCACUAGUUUUGACCAGUAUUGGAGCCUUAAUCCCUAUGUAGUGCACUAGUUUUGACCAGUAUUGAACCCUUAAUCCCUAUGUAGUUCACUAGUUUUGACCAGUAUUGGAGCCUUAAUCCCUAUGUAGUGCAGUAGUUCUGACCAGUAUGGCACCCUACUCCCUAUGUAGUGCACUAGUUCAGAAUAAACCCCUAUGGUAGCUGGUCAAAGCUAGUGCACUGUAGAGGGUGCCAUUUCAGACACAGACGUCAUGUUCAGGUUGUUUUCAGGUUACUGUUUUAUUUAUUGUUAUUGAACCUUUAUUUAUUUAACUGGGCAA
rnacentral:lncRNA from 1 species